AGAGUUUGAUCAUGGCUCAGAAUCAACGCUGGCGGCGUGCCUAACACAUGCAAGUCGAGCGCGAACGGGGGGGCAACUCCCCUAGUAGAGCGGCAAACGGGUGAGUAACGCGUGGGUAAUCUACCCUUGAGUGGGGAACAACAGCGGGAAACUGCUGCUAAUACCGCAUAAUUCCUCCUGACCAUCAGGCCGGGAGGACAAAGCCGGGGACCGCAAGGCCUGGCGCUUGAGGAUGAGCCCGCGUCCGAUUAGCUAGUUGGCGGGGUAAUGGCCCACCAAGGCAACGAUCGGUAGCCGGCCUGAGAGGGCGGACGGCCACACUGGGACUGAGACACGGCCCAGACUCCUACGGGAGGCAGCAGUGGGGAAUUUUUCGCAAUGGGGGAAACCCUGACGAAGCAACGCCGCGUGGAGGAUGAAGGCCUUCGGGUUGUAAACUCCUGUCAAUCGGGACGAAACCGGUUCGACCUAAUACGUCGUUCCGCUGACUGUACCGGUGGAGGAAGCCACGGCUAACUCUGUGCCAGCAGCCGCGGUAAUACAGAGGUGGCAAGCGUUGUUCGGAAUUACUGGGCGUAAAGGGCGCGUAGGUGGUUUGGCAAGUCCUGUGUGAAAUCCCUCGGCUCAACUGAGGAAUUGCACGGGAAACUGCCUGACUUGAGUUCGGGAGAGGGACGCGGAAUUCCGGGUGUAGCGGUGAAAUGCGUAGAUAUCCGGAGGAACACCAGUGGCGAAGGCGGCGUCCUGGACCGACACUGACACUGAGGCGCGAAAGCUAGGGGAGCAAACGGGAUUAGAUACCCUAGUAGUCC
rnacentral:rRNA from 1 species